rnacentral:rRNA from 1 species
GAGUUUGAUCAUGGCUCAGAUUGAACGCUGGCGGCAGGCCUAACACAUGCAAGUCGAGCGGCAGCGCGGGGCAACCUGGCGGCGAGCGGCGGACGGGUGAGUAACGCGUAGGAAUCUACCCAGUAGCGGGGGAUAGCCCGGGGAAACUCGGAUUAAUACCGCAUACGCCCUAAGGGGGAAAGCAGGGGAUCUUCGGACCUUGCACUAUUGGCAGAGCCUGCGUUGGAUUAGCUAGUUGGUAGGGUAAAGGCCUACCAAGGCGACGAUCCAUAACUGGUCUGAGAGGAUGAUCAGUCACACCGGAACUGAGACACGGUCCGGACUCCUACGGGAGGCAGCAGUGGGGAAUAUUGGACAAUGGGGGCAACCCUGAUCCAGCCAUGCCGCGUGUGUGAAGAAGGCCUUC